rnacentral:rRNA from 1 species
AUACGUAGGGGGCGAGCGUUAUCCGGAUUUAUUGGGCGUAAAGCGUGUGUAGGCGGUUUGUUAAGUUUAAGAUUAAAGCCCGAGGCUUGACCUCGGUUCGUCUUAAAAACUGGCAGACUUGAGUGCAGUAGAGGCAAGUGGAAUUUCUAGUGUAGCGGUUAAAUGCGUAGAUAUUAGAAGGAACACCAGUGGCGAAGGCGGCUUGCUGGGCUGUUACUGACGCUGAGACACGAAAGCGUGGGGAGCAAAUAGGAUUAGAUACCCUAGUAGUCCACGCCGUAAACGAUGAGUACUAAGUGUCGGGUAACCGGUGCUGAAGUUAACACAUUAAGUACUCCGCCUGAGUAGUACGGUCGCAAGGCUGAAACUCAAAUGAAUUGACGG